rnacentral:rRNA from 1 species
GACCAUCUCCUAAGGCUAAAUACUCUCUAGUGACCGAUAGUGAACCAGUACCGUGAGGGAAAGGUGAAAAGUACCCCGGAAGGGGAGUGAAAGAGAACUUGAAACCGUGUGCUUACAAGUAGUCAGAGCCCGUUAAUGGGUGAUGGCGUGCCUUUUGUAGAAUGAACCGGCGAGUUACGAUCUGAUGCAAGGUUAAGCAGAAAAUGUGGAGCCGUAGCGAAAGCGAGUCUGAAUAGGGCGAAUGAGUAUUUGGUCGUAGACCCGAAACCAGGUGAUCUACCCUUGGUCAGGUUGAAGUUCAGGUAACACUGAAUGGAGGACCGAACCGACUUACGUUGAAAAGUGAGCGGAUGAACUGAGGGUAGCGGAGAAAUUCCAAUCGAACUUGGAGAUAGCUGGUUCUCUCCGAAAUAGCUUUAGGGCUAGCCUCAAGUGAUGAUUAUUGGAGGUAGAGCACUGUUUGGACGAGGGGCCCCUCUCGGGUUACCGAAUUCAGACAAACUCCGAAUGCCAAAUAAUUUAACUUGGGAGUCAGAAUGUGGGUGAUAAGGUCCAUAUUCGAAAGGGAAACAGCCCAGACCACCAGCUAAGGUCCCAAAAUAUAUGUUAAGUGGAAAAGGAUGUGGCGUUGCCCAGACAACUAGGAUGUUGGCUUAGAAGCAGCCAUCAUUUAAAGAGUGCGUAAUAGCUCACUAGUCGAGUGACACUGCGCCGAAAAUGUACCGGGGCUAAACAUAUUACCGAAGCUGUGGAUUGUCCUUUGGACAAUGGUAGGAGAGCGUU